rnacentral:rRNA from 1 species
UGCGGCCGAUUAGGUAGUUGGUUAGGUAACGGCUUACCAAGCCAUUGAUCGGUACGGGUUGUGAGAGCAAGAGCCCGGAGAUGGAACCUGAGACAAGGUUCCAGGCCCUACGGGGUGCAGCAGGCGCGAAACCUCCGCAAUGUGAGAAAUCGCGACGGGGGGAUCCCAAGUGCCAUUCUUAACGGGAUGGCUGUUCAUUAGUGUAAAGAGCUUUUGGAAUAAGGGCUGGGCAAGACCGGUGCCAGCCGCCGCGGUAACACCGGCAGCUCUAGUGGUAGCAGUUUUUAUUGGGCCUAAAGCGUCCGUAGCCGGUUUAAUAAGUCUCUGGUGAAAUCCUGUAGCUUAACUGUGGGAAUUGCUGGAGAUACUAUUAGACUUGAGACCGGGAGAGGUUAGAGGUACUCCCAGGGUAGAGGUGAAAUUCUGUAACCCUGGGAGGACCGCCUGUUGCGAAGGCGUCUAACUGGAACGGUUCUGACGGUGAGGGACGAAAGUUAGGGGCGCGAACCGGAUUAGAUACCCGGGUAGUCCUAACUGUAAACGAUGCGGACUUGGUGUUGGGGUGGCUUUGAGCUGCUCCAGUGCCGAAGGGAAGCUGUUAAGUCCGCCGCCUGGGAAGUACGGUCGCAAGACUGAAACUUAA